rnacentral:RNase_P_RNA from 1 species
CUUAUUAGUGAGCAAUCGCUGCAAGCUUAUGCUUGCAGAGGAAAGUCCGAGCACCAAAGAAGAAGGUAAAAGCUAACGGCUUUGGCUUGAGCCUCAUAAGCCCAAGUACGGAAAGUGCCACAGAGACAAUACUAGUCAUGACCAUAUCAUGACCAAAGGUGAAAAGGCUCUUUUAAAGGGCAUAUCCCCUCUCGGGGAUGUCGGCAAACCCUACCCGGUGCAAGGUGGGAUGGGAGAAAAGGAAUUAACUGACUUCUUACAGUCCUUUCUGCCCACCGCAAGAGAUAAAUGGUGACAUUUAUCCCAGAUAGAUGAUUGCAAUCAAGUGAUUAAGCUUGAUACAGAACUCGGCUUAUGAUCUAAUAAGAUCG